rnacentral:tRNA from 1 species
UCCCUAGUAGCUUAGUCGGUAAAGUAUCCACCUGCAAUGCAGGAGACCUGGGUUCAAUCCCUGGGUCGGGAA